CAUGUGGUUUAAUUCGAUGAUACGCGAGGAACCUUACCUGGGCUAGAACGCCGGGGGAGCUCGUCCGAAAGGGCGGGGCCAGCGAUGGCCGCCGGCGAGGUGCUGCAUGGUUGUCGUCAGCUCGUGCCGUGAGGUGUCGGGUUAAGUCCCAUAACGAGCGCAACCCCUACCGCCAGUUGCCAACGGGUAAAGCCGGGGACUCAGGCGGGACUGCCGGCGUAAGCCGAGAGGAAGGCGGGGAUGACGUCAAAUCAGCACGGCCCUUACGUCCAGGGCUACACACGUGUUACAAUGGCCGGUACAGAGGGAGGCGACCCCGCGAGGGGGAGCGGAUCCCGAAAGCCGGUCGUAGUUCGGAUCGGGGUCUGGAACCCGACCCCGUGAAGCCGGAUUCGCUAGUAAUCGCGCAUCAGCCAUGGCCGCGGUCCGAAUACGUUCCGGCCUU
rnacentral:rRNA from 1 species